rnacentral:rRNA from 1 species
AUUGAACGCUGGCGGCAGGCCUAACACAUGCAAGUCGAGCGGAGCGGCGGACGGGCGAUUAAUGCCUAGGACUCUACAUGGUAGUGGGGGAUAACGUCCGGAAACGGGCGCUAAUAACGCAUACUAGCAGAUGAGCCUAGGUCGGAUUAGCUAGUUGGUGGGGUAAAGGCCUACAAAGGCGACGAUCCGUAACUGGUCUGCGAGGAUGAUCAGUCACACUGGAACUGAGACACGGUCCAGACUCCUACGGGAGGCAGCAGUAGGGAAUAUGGGAAAAGGGGGGAAAGACGGAGCCAGCAAGGCCGCGUGUGUGAAGAAGGUUUUCGGAUUGUAAAACUCUUUAAGUUGGGAAGCGUUAACAACAGAAUAAGCACCGGCUAACUACGUGCCAGCCGCCGCGGUAAUAC